AGGUGAUUAAUGCCCGGUGAGAGGGUGAAAGGGACCUAUACCCCCGUCAGCUGCAGGAAAGGAACAAAGAGACAGGUGAUUGAUGCCCGGUGAGAGGGUGAAAGGGACCUAUACCCCCGUCAGCUGCAGGAAAGGAACAAAGAGACAGGUGAUUGAUGCCCGGUGAGAAGGUGAAAGUGACCUAUACCCCCGUCAGCUGCAGGAAAGGAACAAAGAGACAGGUGAUUGAUGCCCGGUGAGAGGGUGAAAGGGACCUAUACCCCCGUCAGCUGCAGGAAAGGAACAAAGAG